rnacentral:tRNA from 1 species
AGGUAAGUCCCUAAUGGAAGGGAAAAGUAGCUGAUAACUAUUUUUUAAUUAGUUCAACUCUAAUCUUAUCUU